UACGUAGGUCCCGAGCGUUGUCCGGAUUUACUGGGCGUAAAGCGUGCGCAGGCGGCCCGUUAAGACAGGUGUGAAAUCCCUGGGCUCAACCUAGGAAUUGCGCUUGUGACUGGCGGGCUCGAGUACGGUAGAGGGGGGUGGAAUUCUUGGUGUAGCAGUGAAAUGCGUAGAGAUCAGGAGGAACACCGAUGGCGAAGGCAGCCCCCUGGGCCUGUACUGACGCUCAUGCACGAAAGCGUGGGGAGCAAACAGG
rnacentral:rRNA from 1 species